rnacentral:rRNA from 1 species
AUGCCACGUAUUUAUAUAGCUUUAGGAUUCGCGCCCAUGCACCCGUACCCUCGCACCACCGCGGCGUAUGGCGGAAGCGGCCGGGGCUGGCGCGCGGCGCGUCUGGAUCUAGCCACGGCGGCGGGUGCAGUUGUCGGGCGUGGUCGACUGCUGCAUCCGGAGCUGCUCGUAGAACCUCUUGAUGAAGCUGUCGGCCUCGGCGUCCACGCGCUCGUCGACGCCCUCCGGCUCGACGGGGAACGGCGAGUCGGUGACGCGCAGCUGGCGCGCCCCGGCCGGGCAGCGCCCCAGGCUGAGCGCCAGCAUGGGCGACGGCGUGGCCCGGGACACCCCCGGCGUGUCCCCGGCAGCGUGCGCGUUCAUCAUCUCGAAGGCGGCCGCCACGGUGGCAGCGUCCAGCCCGCCGUAGUUUCUGCCCCGGCCGCGGCCGCGGCCGAUCUUGAAGGGGAAGACUGCCUGCUCGUACACCGGCGUGGUCUCACAGCUGAACUCGACGUCCCUGGGGUCGUGCUGGUACAUGGAGAGCGCGGACGGGGAGGCGCCGGCCGCGGCCGCGGCGCCGAAGCGGUGGCCCCCGGCGAGCGGCUGGUGCGCGAGGAGGUCCCGGAAGUGCCUGCCGGCGAGCUUGCCGCGGCCGAGCAGCAGGUGGAGGUCCAUCAUGAGGCGCUUGCGGCAGAGGCCACGGCGCAGCAUGUGGUAGACGGCGCGCAGCACGUGGAGCAGGCGCCUCCCGAGCCCGGGCUCCACGCCUCCCCCUCCGGGCGACGACCCGCCACCCCCGCCGCUGCCGGCCGGCUGGAUCCUCCUGUCGGUCGCCAUGGCCACCACCGCGUGAACCGUGGCAAUGCAGAGAAGAGAGAGAUCACCGUCGAGCCCGCUGCGUGUCGCGUCACCGAGAUCGAGGAGCGGAGCUGGCUUUGGUGGCUUCGCUUUGCUUUGGGGUGGAGAGUGGAACAACUUUUGCUCUCAGUGCUUUGCUUGGCUAGGUGGUGA